rnacentral:lncRNA from 1 species
UUGAACUGCUUUCCAAGCUAUUUACUUGAUUGCAAACUCUGGAAGCUUUUGUAAGGCUUUUUUGAAGAUGCUUGCAAGUAGUCUCGUCAGAUGCCCGCUUGAGCAGCUUGCGAGCCACCUGGAAAAUACUGUUGUUUUCAAUGUUUCGGGUACAAGAAUCUGUAUAAAUGCAACAACAACUUCAACCCAAGUUCAAGUCUAGGACAAGAACAAUUAUGAAAUUCCUUAACACAAGAUUAUAAAUAAUCUAUCCAACAAGUAUGUUAACUUUCAGAAAUGAGAUGAAAUAGAAUUUUAAGGCCAAGUACCCCGACUUUACGAAGUGUCCUUAAGGAAUAAUUUCCCUCACUGUACCCGAGGUUAUGGAAUCUUCCUCCCAGGAUAAAAUGGCAAAACAAACCAACUGUAGCGGUACCUCAAACAAUUGAAAUCUCUUCGAACUCACUCAACGAUUUGAUUGAUCACACGGAAUAUUUUUGAAGACAAGAAGAAUUUGUAUUUCAGAAAAUUUUUCAUACCAAAACCUGUGAAAAAAUGCAGGUUUAUAUAGUCUUCAAGUGCCCCUUCCAAAAGAUGGCAAUGGUUCAUCCGAAAAGGUGUAUCCUUUGGAAGAGUCAUGUCUGUUCAUUUGAAGCAUUGUUUCUUUUUCUGAACAGACACAACUAUGCGAACAGUCACUCCUUUUCCAAAACAAUAUGUCUUUUCCCCAAAGGUUGUGUCCCUCCAUUUUUCAUUCACACCUAUUGAACCUAACAAAUACAAGUUAUUUGCCUGAGCUACUUGCAAGUUACAUACUUGAUUGCAAGCCUUAAGAAAAUGAUGCAAGCUGCUUAUUUGAGUUGUUUGCAAGCUAUUUACUUGUUUGCAAACUCUGGAAGCUGUUGUAAGGUUUUUCUGAAGUUGCUUGCAAGUAGUCUCGCAAGAAGCCUGCUUGAGCUGCUUUCAAGCUACCUGCUUGAUUGCAAGGCUUGGGAACUGCAAGUUGUUUGCUAGAGCUACUUGCAAGUUACAUACUUAAUUGCACGCCUUAAGAAGCUGGAGCAAUUUGCUUGCAAGCUGCUUACUUGAGCUAUUUGCAUGUGCUUACAAGCUAUUUACUUGAUUGCAAACUCUGGAAGCUGUUGUGAGCAGUGGCGGAGGCAGGAUUUUCACGAAUGAGGUUCAUAAGUGAAUAUACAAACUAAUCGAAGGGGGUUCAUAAGUGAAUAUACAAACUAAUCGAAGGGGAUUCGACAUCUACUAUAUAUACAUAAGAAAUAAUUUUAACAUAAUUUUCCGUCGAAGGGGGUUCAUCAUACAUGUAGCUCCGCCCUUGGUUAUAAGGCUUUUUCGAAGCUGCUUGCAAGUAGUCUUGCCAGAUGCCUGCUUGAGCUACUUGCAAGUUACCUGUUUGAUUGCAAGGCUCGGGAACUGCAAGUUGUUUGCUAGAGCUACUUGCAAGUUACAUGAUUGCAAAUUUGUUUGCAAGCUACUUGCAAGUUGUCUAUUUGCUUGCAAGCUGCUUACGAGUUGCCUACUUGAGCUGUUUGCAAGCUAUUUACUUGAUUGCAAACUCUAGAAGUUGUUGUAAGGCUUUUUUGGAAGCUGCUUGCAAGUAUUCUCGCAAGAAGCCUGCUUGAGCUACUUGCAAAGCUACCUGCUUGAUUGCGAGGCUCGGGAACUACAAGUCGUUUGCCUGAGCUACUUGUAAGUUAAAUACUUGAUCGCAAGCCUUAAAGAAGCUGGUGCAAUUUGCUUGCAAGCUGCCUGCUUGAACUACUUGCGAGCUGACUACUUGCUUACGAACUAAGGCUUUUAUAAAUCUGCUUGCAAGCUGCAUGCUUGCGUGCUUCAGCUUCUUGCAAGCAUCCUGGUUGAGCUACUUGCACAUUUUUUUAUUAAAU